rnacentral:rRNA from 1 species
CGCUUACCACUUUGUGAUUCAUGACUAGGGUGAAGUCGUAACAAGGUAACCGUAGGGGAACCUGCGGUUGGAUCACCUCCUUACCUUAAAGAA